GGUCGGGAUAGCUCAGC
rnacentral:tRNA from 1 species